UACAGAGGUCUCAAGCGUUGUUCGGAUUCAUUGGGCGUAAAGGGUGCGUAGGCGGCGCGGUAAGUCGGGUGUGAAAUCUUGGAGCUUAACUCCGAAACUGCAUUCGAUACUGCCGUGCUUGAGGACUGGAGAGGAGACUGGAAUUUACGGUGUAGCGGUGAAAUGCGUAGAUAUCAGGAGGAACACCAAUGGCGAAGGCAGCUCGCUGGGACGUAACUGACGCUGAGACGCGAAAGCGUGGGGAGCAAACAGG
rnacentral:rRNA from 1 species